UACAGAGGUCUCGAGCGUUAGGCGGAAUCACUGGGCUUAAAGCGUGUGUAGGCGGAUCGUUAAGUGCCUUGUGAAAUCCCACGGCUUAACCGUGGAACUGCUUGGCAUACUGGCGAUCUUGAGCAACCUAGGGGCGAGCGGAACAAAUGGUGGAGCGGUGAAAUGCGUAGAUAUCAUUUGGAACGCCAAUGGUGAAAACAGCUCGCUGGGGGUUUGUUGACGCUGAGACACGAAAGCCAGGGGAGCAAACGGG
rnacentral:rRNA from 1 species